AGCGAACGCUGGCGGCAGGCUUAACACAUGCAAGUCGAGCGGGCACUUUCGGGUGUCAGCGGCGGACGGGUGAGUAACGCGUGGGAACGUGCCUUCUGGUUCGGAAUAACUCAGGGAAACUUGAGCUAAUACCGGAUACGCCCUUUUGGGGAAAGGUUUACUGCCGGAAGAUCGGCCCGCGUCUGAUUAGCUAGUUGGUGGGGUAACGGCCUACCAAGGCGACGAUCAGUAGCUGGUCUGAGAGGAUGAUCAGCCACACUGGGACUGAGACACGGCCCAGACUCCUACGGGAGGCAGCAGUGGGGAAUAUUGGACAAUGGGCGCAAGCCUGAUCCAGCCAUGCCGCGUGAGUGAUGAAGGCCUUAGGGUUGUAAAGCUCUUUUAUCCGGGACGAUAAUGACGGUACCGGAGGAAUAAGCCCCGGCUAACUUCGUGCCAGCCGCCGCAGUAA
rnacentral:rRNA from 1 species